rnacentral:rRNA from 1 species
GUCUAGCCGUAAACAUAACUAGUCACAAACAAGACUAUUCACCAGAGAACUACGAGCCACAGCUUAAAACUCAAAGGACUUGGCGGUGCUUCAUACCCCCCUAGAGGAGCCUGUUCUAUAAUCGAUAUACCACGAUACACCUCACCAAUUCUUGCUAAUUCAGUCUAUAUACCGCCAUCUUCAGCAAACCCUGAUUAAGGAACAAAAGUAAGCAUAAUCAUUUCUACAUAAAAACGUUAGGUCAAGGUGUAACUCAUGAAUUGGGAAGCAAUGGGCUACAUUCUUUAACUAAAAGAAUUAACGAAAGUUUCUAUGAAACUAGAAACCAAAGGAGGAUUUAGUAGUAAGCUAAGAUUAGAAAGCUUAACUGAAAGAGGCAAUGAAGCACGU